rnacentral:piRNA from 1 species
UAAAAAACUCUAAUUUGUGUUGCCC